rnacentral:lncRNA from 1 species
UUCAAAAUUUAUUACUGGGAGUGCAUAUUUUUCUAUUUGGCACCCUUUUCUCCUCUUUUUCUUAUUUUAAAUUUUUUCCCCUGAAUUUUCCUUUUCGUAUAACAGGAAGGAACAAUGAAAAAAACAACUCCAGCAGCAGCAGCUUCAUUUUCAUGACUAUAUGCAUACAUGUGCCAUGCACUCGAGCAACAACAAUUUCAUCUUCACAAGAACAUACAGAGCAACGUUUUUUUAUGGUGGUGGGCAACCGGACAUAGCUCCUACAGCUCUGAGGUCGCAUGGUGUAGCCCGUCGUAGAGACGCCGGCGGCGGCGAGGUUCGUACCAGUCUAACCCCAAAUCUUGAGCCAACCUUGAGCGGGUGGGCAGGGUGCGACAGGUGGUGGUGGUCCGGCGCAGCGUGUCGGUUGGAGAUCACCGCGGAAUGACGACGGGGAUGGACGGCGCGCUGCCGUGAGGAGCGAGCCAGGAGGGAAGGGGAGGGGCGGAUUGAAUCUCUGUAUACCAAAGCAAAGGGCAAAACGGUAAUAGCAUGUGUGCAGUAAAGGGAAAAUUAGAGAAAAAGAAUUAAAAUAAGAAAAAGAAGAGAAAAGGGUACCAAAAAGAAAAAUAUGCACUCUCAGUGAUAAAUUUAUAAGUCAUGCGAAUUAAGUGUCAAAUUCUAAAACUGGUGCGAAUUCAGGAAAAUUCUCCACCCCCACCCUGUGCCGUG